rnacentral:rRNA from 1 species
GAUGAACGCUAGCGGCAGGCUUAAUACAUGCAAGUUGAGGGGCAGCAUGAUAUACGCGAGUAUAUUGAUGGCGACCGGCGGACGGGUGAGUAAUAGGUAGGAGACCUACCUCAUACAGGGGGAUAGCAUAGAGAAAUCUGUGGUAAUACCCCAUGAGGUUAUAUGAAUAGAGGCAUAUAAUCAAAGCAUAAGCGAUUAUGCGGUAUGAGAGGGGCCUACUGACCAUUAGCUAGUUGGUGAGGUAAGGGCUCACCAAGGCGAAGAUGGUUAGGGGUUUUGAGAGAGAGACCCCCCACAUUGGAACUGAGAGACGGUCCAGACUCCUACGGGAGGCAGCAGUAGGGAAUAUUGGGCAAUGGGCGAAAGCCUGACCCAGCCAUGCCGCGUGAAGGAAGACGGCCUUAUGGGUUGUAAACUUCUUUACUACGCGAAUAGAGGUUAGUACGAGAUACUAAUAGGAAGGUAGUGUAGUAAAAGCGACCGGCUAACUCCGUGCC